rnacentral:rRNA from 1 species
CCUACGGGCGGCAGCAGUGAGGAAUAUUUGUCAAUGGACGCAAGUCUGAACCAGCCAUGCCGCGUGCAGGAAGACGGCUCUAUGAGUUGUAAACUGCUUUUGUACGAGGGUAAACGCAGAUACGCGUAUCUGUCUGAAAGUAUCGUACGCAUAAGGAUCGGCUAACUCCGUGCCAGCCGCCGCGGUAAUACGGAGGAUUCAAGCGUUAUCCGGAUUUAUUGGGUUUACAGGGUGCGUAGGAGUUCUGAUAAGUUAGAGGUGAAAUCCCGAGGCUAAACUUCGGAAUUGCCUCUGAUACUGGUCGGCUAGAGAGUAGUUGCGGUAGGCGGAAUGUAUGGUGUAGCGGUGAAAUGCUUAGAGAUCAUACAGAACACCGAUUGCGAAGGCAGCUUACCAAGCUACUUCUGACGUUGAGGCACGAAAGCGUGGGGAGCAAACAGGAUUAGAUACCCCAGUAGUC